UACGGAGGGUGCAAGCGUUGCCCCGGAAUCACUGGGCGUAAAGGGCGCGUAGGCGGCUCAUGAAGGCUGUGGUGAAAGUCCGGGGCUCAACCUCGGAUCGGCCGUGGCGACUCGUGGGCUGGAGCACUGUAGAGGCGGGUGGAAUUCCGGGUGUAGCGGUGGAAUGCGUAGAUAUCGGAAGGAACACCUGUGGCGAAAGCGGCUCACUGGACCAUUACUGACGCUGAGGCACGAAAGCUAGGGGGAGCAAACAGG
rnacentral:rRNA from 1 species